CCCGGAUGUCCGGCUCUGGUGUCUCCUGGCAACAAUAUCCUGGUGCUGCCUGAGUACAUCUCACAGACUCCAGCAUCAGUGAUUUUGUUGCCGGGGGAAAACCCCUCACUCUACAAACACC
rnacentral:pre_miRNA from 8 species